UACAGAGGGUGCGAGCGUUGUUCGGAAUUACUGGGCGUAAAGCGCGCGCAGGCGGCCUUUUAAGUCUCGUGGUGAAAUGCCGGGGCUCAACCCCGUGCCCGCCGGAGAUACUGGGAGGCUGGAGACGAGUAGAGGCAAGCGGAAUUCCGGGUGUAGCGGUGGAAUGCGUAGAGAUCCGGAAGAACACCGGAGGCGAAGGCGGCUUGCUGGGCUCGGUCUGGCGCUGAGGCGCGAAAGCGUGGGGAGCGAACAGG
rnacentral:rRNA from 1 species